rnacentral:rRNA from 1 species
CGAACGCUGGCGGCGUGCUUCACACAUGCAAGUCGAACGGAAAGGCCCUGCUUUUGUGGGGUGCUCGAGUGGCGAACGGGUGAGUAACACGUGAGUAACCUGCCCUUGACUUUGGGAUAACUUCAGGAAACUGGGGCUAAUACCGGAUAGGAGCUCCUGCUGCAUGGUGGGGGUUGGAAAGUUUCGGCGGUUGGGGAUGGACUCGCGGCUUAUCAGCUUGUUGGUGGGGUAGUGGCUUACCAAGGCUUUGACGGGUAGCCGGCCUGAGAGGGUGACCGGCCACAUUGGGACUGAGAUACCGCCCAGACUCCUACGGGAGGCAGCAGUGGGGAAUAUUGCACAAUGGGCGGAAGCCUGAUGCAGCAACGCCGCGUGGGGGAUGACGGCCUUCGGGUUGUAAACCGCUUUCGCCUGUGACGAAGCGUGAGUGACGGUAAUGGGUAAAGAAGCACCGGCUAACUACGUG